AAUGAUUCCAACCUAAGUGUAUGUAGACUUCCCACUUCAACUGUAAAUCCAGACUGAUUUUUGACUGCCAUAAUUUGUAAAUCAUGAACAGAGUUGCAUAAUCAGACAAAUCGUUGUAUGGAGGGUUGAGCGGUUGUUGGAAUGGAAGUGACGUUCAGGCAGGACACUUAAGGACAUGGAUUUGUAAAGAACCAUGUUAACUUAUUUUACUACUAGUACUGAAGGUGAAAGCUGAGAAUAAAGUGUUUCAACAAUUGUUCGCUUUGCUGUCAUGUCUGACCCCUGAUGAGCUGAACAACAAAUGGUUCUUCUCUGAUCAGUGUGUGAGUUGAGUUCAUCCAGUAAUAUCAAAGGGCAUUCCAUGAUUUCACAGAASCCUUUCCAGACUACCCGCMUCUUCAGACACUCCCACUGCACAGAAUGGAACAUCCCAGUCCAAUACUGCCACAAUAGUUGGGUCUACAUUCAAGAACCAAAGCCAAACCAGAGGAAAAAGAGAAAGGCAAGACAGCUGGUCCAGCACUCACACAGGGAUACAGGAGGAAGCAUUGAACCAGUACAACUCUGCCCUGACAGACCUGCCCCCUAACAAGGCUUCUAAGACCAGGUCUCAGGAUGGCUUCAGUCUGCUGCUACGCCGGCAUGGCGGCUCCAAGAGGAACUCUCUGCUGCGCUGGUGUCAGAACCGCACUCAGGGCUACAAGGUACUGUAACACAAUGUUUUUGUUUUUGAACAGGGUCUGGAGAAAGGACGCUUGGAGACUGAGAAUAUUGACAUCACUAACUUCAGCAGUAGCUGGGCAGAUGGUCUGGCRUUCUGUGCUCUGUACCACACCUACCUCCCCUCACACAUCCCCUACUGCACCCUUAGCCCUGACAGCAAGAGGGAGAACCUCAGCCUGGCAUUUAAGACUGGAGAGAAUGUUGGAAUCACAACAUUACUUACCAUGGAGGAGAUGCUGAGGGCUGGAGGACCAGACUGGCAAAGGGUUCUGGGAUAUGUGGAGAGCAUGUACCAUCACUUUGAGAUGUAAUGACUGUGUAUGAGGGAAGCCUCGGAGGGAGUUACAGUUCACUGCUACUGGUUGAAGGAUAGGGAGUGUGACUCACCCUUCUACUAGCUGAGAUGGUCAUUUAACCAGGUUUCCAUCCAACCAAUUCAUGUGGAUGAAUUACCUGAUGCAUGAAAAUGACCGGGUUGAUGGAAAGAGGAAAUGUUGGUACAAUUUCAUAAAUUUCCACAGACAAGUUUUGUUCAACAUGGUGGGAUACUUUUGUGUCGGUACAAUUAAUUAUGCGAGAAAUGGUGAUAGAAACGCUUUUUUGUGUUCUAAUAUUGAUAUAAUAACCAUCAAUCAUAUGGUAAACUUGGUCACGAAAUGAUAUGUUGUGUGGUCGUCCCACUACGACUCYGGAAAGCAUGCAGUUUAUUAGGCGACAGAUGAAAUAAGUUAUG